GGUUUUCACAUUUAUUUCUAAAUGUUUCUUGUAAUUUCUUCCGUGUGUGGUAUUGUGCUUUUUAUUCUUAUUAUUGAAGAAUUACCUGGUGUGUGUUUCUUAAUUUUCAAGGAGUUCAGGAAAAGAAAUACUCACCUUUUACAUUCAGUUCCUUAUAGCAAGUUGAAGGAUGAGGAAGAGAAAAUUAAGGUGGAUCAAGAAUGUGCUCAGAAUCUCGUCUGAAGAUUUCUGCAUCAGUAACUGAGGAGCAAAGGAAAUCUACCCGGUGGCCCUCCAGCAGAUUUCUCCAUGUAUCUAACUGGCCACAACAUUGCCUCCCUACAUUUAAUGGAUGUUGAGAAAUCCCCAGCUCCCGGGAAGAUCUGAAAUCACCCUUCAUCCUUAUCACUGCUGCCUUCUCCCAACUGGAUCCCUUCUCAUUCGCUGAAGACGGUGAAGCUGGGCUCACUUUUGCUCUCUCCAUCCCGAUUCCCACUGCCAUCUAUGUGACUUGAACGUCCACUCAGACAACUCUGAUGACAGCGCACCCCCCGGGUGCCUCAACUACCUCGGCUCUGAUGCUCCUUUCCUCCACGCGUGCGUGUGCACGCGCACACACACACACACACACUCUCAAAUAUUUGCUGACACCAUGUAGAUAAUGGGCCCAUUUAGUGAGGUUUCAUUUGUCUUUAAAACUAUGAUACCUGUAACUAGAGUAACCAUAUAAUUUAUUUUCCAAACAGGGACAAUUUUGUGAAUGAGAGAGGACACCAAAAUAAUUCAGAUUGUAUUACUUUUGGAAAUACUUAUUUAUGACAAAUUGGCUUUUGUAUUAAGGCCCUUUACUUUUGAAUAUAAAGUAAUUAUAUUCAAAAGCUAUUUUCCAAAAUAAAUUUUCCUUCAAUUAAAACAUUUACAUGUCUACACUAAAAAGACAUUGAAAAAAACUCUU